UACGUAGGGUGCAAGCGUUAUCCGGAAUUAUUGGGCGUAAAGAGCUCGUAGGCGGUUUGUCGCGUCUGCUGUGAAAACUGGGGGCUCAACCCCCCAGCCUGCAGUGGGUACGGGCAGACUAGAGUGCGGUAGGGGAGAUUGGAAUUCCUGGUGUAGCGGUGAAAUGCGCAGAUAUCAGGAGGAACACCGGUGGCGAAGGCGGGUCUCUGGGCCGUAACUGACGCUGAGGAGCGAAAGCGUGGGGAGCGAACAGG
rnacentral:rRNA from 1 species